rnacentral:lncRNA from 1 species
AGUUCGGAGUAGAGAUCCGGCUGGCGGAGCCCGUCCGUUGUAGGAGUUCGUCUGGAAUCCAUCCGCUGUAGAAGUUUGGCUGGGAUCCAGCUCUCGUUAGAGCUCGGAUGAAAUUCGGGAGGCAGUCGACCACCGUAGAAACUUGGAUGGAAUCCGAUUACUAUAGAAGUUCUGCUAUUGGAGAAGCUCAGAUAUUGAUGAAGUCCGAAAAAAGUUCGGAGUAAAGUCGUUCGUGGUCGGAAGUAGUCUAGGCUAAGAUUCGGAGAAUAGUCGAUCACUGUAGAAAAUCGACUGAUAGCGAAGCUCAGAGAGCAUUUGGAGCAGUCUGGUAGAUGAAUGGAGGAGCCUAUUAUUGAAGAAAUUCGGAUGGUAUUAUGGAAGCUCGGAUGGUCGGGGGAGUUCUGAAAGACGCCACACAAGGUCGAAAGCCGGAAGAGCCCUGGAAGGGUCGGCUUUUUACGAACUUCGGCUGGG